CACCGUCGGUAGUCCUUGCUGCCAUAU
rnacentral:sRNA from 1 species